AUUUUGGAAAAACAGAAUUUAGAGAUCAGCGAUGCGUUCAAAUAUUCUGAUGAAGUUUCCAAGAGUCAGUUUCUUUUCACGACGUCGCUCUAUCGCAAUCAAAAUCUCCAGACAAAUAAACAGCGACCAAGUUCCCAGCCAUUGAUCGUAAGCAAUAUAAAUAUGCUUGCUUCCUAUGUGAUGUAGGUACAAUUCUAAGAAAUGGGCCUGUGAUAUAUGCCAUUGAUUACGUAAUACGAGGCUACGUAAUUUAGGCAGGCAAUUGAUAACGGUUAGAGAACGGAAAGGCAUCACAUUUCUUGAAUCCUGCCGCUGAAUCAUUCAACAUACUUACCUAAACAAUUGCUAGGAACAAGAAAGAAUGAAAUGAAGAUCUAAUAUAGCACAUCCUGCAAAUAUCGAAGCAGUUAAGGAUUAAAUUUCUUUCAAACAAGAAAGGACAAGAAUUGAAGUAGUAGGAAUCAAUUAAAAUCCUUCCAUCAGGCAUCCAUCCUUCUAUGAAUCUGCAAACCUAGAAGAAUAUUCAUCUUUCAUUAAGUUUCACACAACUAUUCCAAUAUAUGAUUUAUACUUA